UGUCUGUUGCUGUAGAGGGGUGUAGGUUGUAGCCGUGUUGCUCUGAGGACAUAGUCAGACAAGGAUCUUUGAGUUAAUCUGAUAUCUUUUAUUAGACCAACUUAGAUACUUGACAAAAUUCUUCAUUGCAAG